rnacentral:misc_RNA from 1 species
UAGUUGCCUUGGGGCAUUCCAGCGUGGUUGUGAGGAGGCAUGUUGUGACUAAAGUUGUUGGGAGGCAUACUACUCGGAGCUGGUGCAUUCAUGUCUGGUCCAGUAGGUCGAUUUGCUGAAGCAUUUGGAAAACAUGCAAAAUAGAGAAUUUCCAAAUGCUUCGGCGAAUGGACCAAACAUGGGUGCACCACCAGAUCCGAGUAGGAUGCCUCCCAACAACUUUAGUCAUGGCAUGCCUCCUCACAACAGUGCUGGAAUGCCCCAAGGCAACUAUCCGGGAGGACCACCACCACCACCACCAAACAAUUUUAACAGACCGCCGCCACCAAACAACUAUAACGGACCACCACCGCCUCCACCGAACAACUUUAACGGACCACCACUGCCGCCACCAAACAACUUUAAUGGACCACCACCACCACCGCCGAACAACUUUAAUGGACCACCACCACCACCGCCG